rnacentral:rRNA from 1 species
CCGGCGACCGGUGCACGGGUGAGUAACACGUAUGCAACCUGGCCGUGACAGAUGGAUAACCGGGAGAAAUCCCGCCUAAUACAACAUAAUGCCGGGAGGGGACAUCCCCUGCCGGCCAAAGGGGGCGACCCCGGUCACGGAUGGGCAUGCGGCGCAUUAGGUAGUUGGUGGGGCAACGGCCCACCAAGCCGACGAUGCGUAGGGGUUCUGAGAGGAAGGUCCCCCACAUUGGAACUGAGACACGGUCCAAACUCCUACGGGAGGCAGCAG